UAGUUCUCUACGGCGGGAAGGUAUAUAUACAGGAGAUCCCGCUGGCAUUUUACAGAAAACCAUCAGGUUGUCGCAAUUAAUAAAAUGGCGGAUAAAUUCACUUCCGUGUGCCUUUUCGUUAUGGCGGCCGUAAUUUCGGCCCUUGCAGCCACAACGACUGACAUUGAUUUUGCUUCGGUGUGCUUGUAACGCCGAGGAUUUUCCACGUGCAGUUCACAUUCUUAGGAUUGAUAUAUCUAUAAUGAAAUUGUAACAUUUACAUACUUCUAUGUAUACAUGUUAUAUACAUAACAAUAUGCACAAGUAAAUUCGAUAAAGUAAUAGAA